rnacentral:rRNA from 1 species
GUAGGGAAUAUUGGACAAUGGGCGGAAGCUUGAUCCAGCCAUGCCGCGUGGAGGAUGACUGCCCUCUGGGUUGUAAACUCCUUUUGUACAGGAAGAAACCUCCUCAUUUAUGAGUGAGCUGACGGUACUGUAAGAAUAAGCACCGGCUAACUCCGUGCCAGCAGCCGCGGUAAUACGGAGGGUGCAAGCGUUAUCCGGAUUCACUGGGUUAAAGGGUGCGUAGGCGGUUUUAUAAGUCAGUGGUGAAAUCAACGGGCUCAACCUGUUAACUGCCAUUGAUACGGUAGGACUUGAAUAUGAGAGAGGUAGGCGGAAUGUUGCAUGUAGCGGUGAAAUGCUUAGAUAUGCUACGGAACACCGAUUGCGAAGGCAGCUUACUAUUUCAUGAUUGACGCUGAGGCACGAAAGCGUGGGUAGCGAACAGGAUUAGAUACCCGUGUAGUCC